rnacentral:rRNA from 1 species
GACAGCAGUAGCCGCGGUAAUACCGAGGGUGCGAGCGUUAAUCGGAUUUACUGGGCGUAAAGCGUGCGUAGGCGGCUUCUUAAGUCGGAUGUGAAAUCCCUGAGCUUAACUUAGGAAUUGCAUUCGAUACUGGGAAGCUAGAGUAUGGGAGAGGAUGGUAGAAUUCCAGGUGUAGCGGUGAAAUGCGUAGAGAUCUGGAGGAAUACCGAUGGCGAAGGCAGCCAUCUGGCCUAAUACUGACGCUGAGGUACGAAAGCAUGGGGAGCAAACAGGAUUAGAUACCCGAGUAGUCCCUGUCUCUUAUAC